GACGAACGCUGGCGGCGUGCUUAACACAUGCAAGUCGAACGGAAAGGCCCUGCUUUUGUGGGGUGCUCGAGUGGCGAACGGGUGAGUAACACGUGAGUAACCUGCCCUUGACUUUGGGAUAACUUCAGGAAACUGGGGCUAAUACCGGAUAGGAGCUCCUGCUGCAUGGUGGGGGUUGGAAAGUUUCGGCGGUUGGGGAUGGACGCGCGGCUUAUCAGCUUGUUGGUGGGGUAGUGGCUUACCAAGGCUUUGACGGGUAGCCGGCAUGAGAGGGUGACCGGCCACAUUGGGACUGAGAUACGGCCCAGACUCCUACGGGAGGCAGCAGUGGGGAAUAUUGCACAAUGGGCGGAAGCCUGAGGCAGCAACGCCGCGUGCGGGAUGACGGCCUUCGGGUUGUAAACCGCUUUCGCCUGUGACGAAGCGGGAGUGACGGUAAUGGGUAAAGAAGCACCGGCUAACUACGUG
rnacentral:rRNA from 1 species